rnacentral:rRNA from 1 species
GACGAACGCUGGCGGCGUGCUUAACACAUGCAAGUCGAACGGAAAGGCCCUGCUUUUGUGGGGUGCUCGAGUGGCGAACGGGUGAGUAACACGUGUGUAACCUGCCCUUGACUUUGGGAUAACUUCAGGAAACUGGGGCUAAUACCGGAUAGGAGCUCCUGCUGCAUGGUGGGGGUUGGAAAGUUUCGGCGGUUGGGGAUGGACUCGCGGCUUAUCAGCUUGUUGGUGGGGUAGUGGCUUACCAAGGCUUUGACGGGUAGCCGGCCUGAGAGGGUGACCGGCCACAUUGGGACUGAGAUACGGCCCAGAUUCCUACGGGAGGCAGCAGUGGGGAAUAUUGCACAAUGGGCGGAAGCCUGAUGCAGCAACGCCGCGUGCGGGAUGACGGCCUUCGGGUUGUAAACCGCUUUCGCCUGUGACGAAGCGUGAGUGACGGUAAUGGGUAAAGAAGCACCGGCUAACUACGUG